AGAAAAUGUUCUGGUAUUUUCAAGGCUUGUUCAAAACAGCAAACAUGCGAAAUCUUCAGAGAAAUUGCUGAUUACACUUCAUCUCAAAGAAUCCAGAACGCGUGAUUUACAAUUGAUUUUCUACAUUUUGAAUCUCUACACAAUGCAGCAGCUUGCCUUCUCCCCAGGAUCUAGAGAUGGCGGAAACAUAAUGUGCAGUCCUGGGGAGUAAUCACAGCCACGUUUAGCCCACUGAAGACCCACCAAGUAGAGAAGUCAGGAAAAAGAAUAAAAUGAAGGCAAAGAGGACAAGAGACAAAAAGCUGGGGAAAAAGGCUUCUUCCUCACCAUAUGGACUAGACCAGAUUUAUCUGCUGCCUGUUGUCCUUCAUGGGACAUGAGGCGCAUUCUGUUGAGUGAUGGAUCGUGU